UUACGGCCACAUUACGUUGAAACAACAGUUCUCGUACGAUCACCGAAGUUAAGCAACGUCGAGCUGGUCAGUAUCUAGAUGGGUGACCGCUUGAGAAUACCAGGUGUUGUAAG